GAAAAGAAACCAACAGGGAUUGCCCCAGUAACGGCGAGUGAAGCGGCAACAGCUCAAAUUUGAAAUCUGGCGCAAGCCCGAGUUGUAAUUUGCAGAGGAUGCUUCAGGGCAGCGACCGGUCUAAGUUCCUUGGAACAGGACGUCGUAGAGGGUGAGAAUCCCGUAUGCGACCGGUUGGCACCCGUCACGUAGCUCCUUCGACGAGUCGAGUUGUUUGGGAAUGCAGCUCUAAAUGGGAGGUAAAUUUCUUCUAAAGCUAAAUACCGGCCAGAGACCGAUAGCGCACAAGUAGAGUGAUCGAAAGAUGAAAAGCACUUUGGAAAGAGAGUUAAAAAGCACGUGAAAUUGUUGAAAGGGAAGCGCAUGCAACCAGACUUGUCGGCGGUGUUCCGCCGGUCUUCUGACCGGUCCACUCGCCGCCGGCAGGCCAGCAUCAUCUGGGCGCGCCGGACAAAGGCGCGGGGAAUGUAGCUCCUCGGAGUGUUAUAGCCCCGCGCACAAUACGGCGCCGCUCGGGUGAGGUCCGCGCUUCGGCUAGGAUGCUGGCGUAAUGGUUGUCUGCGGCCCGUCUUGAAACACGGACCAAGGAGUCUAACAUCUAUGCGAGUGUUCGGGUGUCAAACCCCUACGCGGAAUGAAAGUGAACGGAGGUGGGAAGCGCAAGCUGCACCAUCGACCGAUCCUGAUGUCUUCGGAUGGAUUUGAGUAAGAGCAUAGCUGUUGGGACCCGAAAGAUGGUGAACUAUGCCUGAAUAGGGUGAAGCCAGAGGAAACUCUGGUGGAGGCUCGCAGCGGUUCUGACGUGCAAAUCGAUCGUCAAAUUUGGGUAUAGGGGCGAAAGACUAAU
rnacentral:rRNA from 1 species